rnacentral:lncRNA from 1 species
UGUGUCCUCACCAAGGGCAUCCUACGUCAAGUGAGGUGACUCCCUCUGAAGAGAACAGUCCCCAGGAAAAUGAACUCCAUGGAUCACCUCUGCUAAGCCACAGGCAGCUUCUCAAGAUCCGUGUUUCUCCGUCCCUUCUGACUGCGUGUGCAAGCUCACCCAUUUGUAACAAGGCUUGGGGGAUCGAAAGGCACGAGAUCCCUGACACACAUCAUCUCAGGCAUAUUGCUUAAACUGACAGAGUGAAAGACAGGAUCUGUUACAGAGAGCUGUAGAAUCUGGGAGAGUCAAUCAGCUGCCCUGGGGAGCCACUGAAGCUGCUUCACCAACAGUAGACAAGGACAGAAUGAAUGAACACCUGAAGUGCUCACCUCAGGCUGUGUGUGGAGGGGAGGCGGCUGCAGAGGGUGGUUGGUACCAGGCAGGAUCUGGAAUGCACUCUGGAGCAUCAUUCCCACCCAAAAACCUGCAGAGGGAGCAGAGAAUGACGAGGUCUCUGAUUUAGGCAGGUCAGAGAGAUGCCCGAAGCUGGAGGAAGUGCAAAGUCUGCUUGACUGAGGUCUUCCUUUUCACCUCAAGAAAAAAGAACAAUAUAGCAAUGGAUGAAAUAUGCUCAGAGAAGACAAAUUAAAACUGAACAAUUGGAGUGGAAGAGAAACACAUGUCUAAAGAGAAAAUGCAAUAGAAAUGCUCUCAGAGAAAAUAUUAAACUGAAGUUCUGAAACAUCUAUAUGUUGAUUGAUCCUUGUAGGCCAAGUCAUGGUCCUUUAGCAGGAAUUUCUCAGUUCACUGUCAGAGACCAGGAUUGGGACCCACCACAGUGAUGAUGGAAGAGGAUCAUGGGCAAGUGGGAAUCUCCUGAAGUCUGGGGCGUUAGCUGCCUUAUUCUGAGUUUGUUUCACUUGCAUUUUCAUGCCAAGCAGAUAAUAAAUCUGGCAAGGGAAUACUUUCUAGGAAAAGA